UACGAGGGGUGCAAGCGUUAAUCGGAAUUACUGGGCGUAAAGGGUGCGUAGGCGGCAUGUUAAGCAAGAUGUGAAAGCCCAGGGCUCAACCUUGGAAUUGCAUUUUGAACUGGCAUGCUAGAGUACUGUAGAGGGUGGUGGAAUUUCCAGUGUAGCGGUGAAAUGCGUAGAGAUUGGAAGGAACAUCAGUGGCGAAGGCGGCCACCUGGACAGAUACUGACGCUGAGGCACGAAAGCGUGGGGAGCGAACAGG
rnacentral:rRNA from 1 species